GCAUUCGGAUGAUCCUCAAGUCCAGAGGCGCUUCUCUGUUGACCACGGGAAUCUUACACAUAUAUUUUAUACGGUUUUGAUCACGAUAACAGGUCGUUUUCACCACUUACAUAAUCUCAUGAUCUGUAUUCAGAACAAAUUCUCUCAUCGCUUCUAUAACGGCAACUGUUCCAUUUCUGUGGAUGUACAGCAGAUAGUUAGGUUUAUUUUCUAUGAUAGUUGCGUAAAUAGUUUUCACAUGAAAUAGAGUGAACAAAGACUUUUCACUUAAGCCGAUGUUGCAGUGAUUACCAAGAGAAAUCGGUGCAACUUCGAAGAUUGUGGAAAAGAUUUCCUCCAUUUCUAAACAUGUAGUCUUAAACUUUCAUCAGAGAAUUCAAUUUCUCGCAUUGUGUAGUUUGAUAUCGUCCGUUUGUUUUGUUGCAUGGUAGUGAUUUAUAAUUUGAAUGGGAAUAAGUUUUUUUUUUAAAAGCCAGACUAACGUCUGCGUCCGUACUUAUAAAACUUUAAAUCUAUACACUCAAAAUCUCUAAUGAGGUCUACACACAUGCAAUUUGUCUGCCGUUAAAGUCCAGAUUCUACUAUUCUGGACCCUACAUAGUUUAGGGUUUUUAAAAAUAAAUAUUAAAAAAGUGAUACAGGCAAUACCACCUGCGUCGCUCAUGAACAUGAGGUUGGGGGUGGGAGGGGAGGCAGUAACAAAUAUUCAGAACCCAGUAAUAUAGUAUUCGAAUCUCCAGCUAAACAAAAAUGGCAUGUCUAAACUUAAAAGGACAUGUUUUUUUUUUUUUUUUUUUUUUACAUCUCUGCAACUCUCCCUCGAUCCACCUAAGAUUAAAAUAAACAACAACAUUCAAAUAUAAUAUUAAGCUAGUUUAACCCGUGAUAUGAAGCAGCCACUUACGAGGGUAAAGAAUGUGGUCUUAUUAGGACAGGUGGCUGCUUUAUACAGGUCAGUUUAUAUUCAUGAUCCGUUCUAGAUGAUUUUAGAAAAUAAUACAGUGGCGUUUUCAGACAGGCGGUCGCUUUAUACAGGUCAGUUUAUAUUCAUGAUCCGUUGUAGAUGAUUUUAGAAAAUAAUACAGCGGCGUUUUAAGACAGGCGGUUGCUUUAUACAGGUCAGUUUAUAUUCAUGAUCCGUCCUAGAUAAUUUUAGAAAAUAAUACAGCGGCGUUUUCAGACAGGCGGUUGCUUUAUACAGGUCAGUUUAUAUUCAUGAUCCGUCCUAGAAGAUUUGAGAAAAUAAUACAGCGGCGUUUUAAGACAGGCGGUUGCUUUAGCAGAAGUAUUCACUUCAGUAGUGUUUGAAUGUCAUAUUGGGAACACCAUGACCUGGACCUCCGACAACCACCCAUGACUACUGACCUGUGUGUUGAAAGUUACAUGUCACGUGAUGUUUAUGUGCAAGUACAAUCAAUGGUGUUAUACUUUAACUAAAACAGUAACAAGGGGUGGUCUUAAACAACUGGCUGGACAAUACAGAUGAACUUGUAUUAUACACAAUUUUGGACAAUCAUACAUUAGCCUCACGUUUGAUGAGUUACUAUAAUUUAGAUUUAUCAAGUGUCGCUUGAGCUGGUUUAACUGUAAGUGGUAGGUACACGUUUGGUGAAAUAUAGGACACAGCGAUUGUCAUGUAAGAGACGAAAAAAUGUCAUAACUGUGCAGACGGCUUGAUGUGAAACUAUAAUGAUCUAUAGACGACGAACUAGAGAACUGUGUAAUAUGAUGUCAAGCAAACAAUUGUAUUUAUUCACUGGAACAAGUUAACGAAUAACUGUAUCAAGUAACAGGUGUUUACGUACAGUAAAUUACUGUUGUUAGUUUGUCAGUUUAUUUUUAAGUAGACGUAUUUGGGUUUUUUUAAAAUCCUGUCCUGGUGUUAUUCCGACAACAAGGUUAACGUAAACAGAUCAUUGACCUCAGCUCAUUGUAUUCUAUUAACUCGUAUAGUAUACAACAGGUGAAGAGUUCAAAGAAACAUGGAAGUGUUUACAGCAAAUAACGCUUCGCAAGAAUCAGAUUCUCAUGAACACUGGAGCAGUCUGGAUGCGGUGGUAUCGUGUUCUGAUAGCGAACCUCUUUUACACAGUGAAACCAAUAUGAAAAUUACAGGCGGUAUAUAUACGGAGAGAUACGGAAUUACACGGACCGAGUGUGUAGACGAACAAUUGGCAGACGAACAAUUGAGAGAACAGAAGAAAACAAAACGGAUUAAAAACAAAAAGCUUCGGAAACGAUUAGGACAAGUGGUGCACAGCAGUUGGAAGUGGCUGAAGCGUGGUUUUGCUGGUUAUUAUCUCUCUGCUAACUGGAUGUUUGGAUUUGCAGUUAGCCCGGCAGACAUUUACAAAUCUGCUUAUGACAAGACUUGAACUGAAAUCACUGUGUGCAGCUUGUUUUUUUUGUUUUUUUAAAUCAUCAAGAAACUACUUGUAUAUUAUUUAUGUAUGCAUGAAAUAUAAAAAACCAAAAACGAGAGAGAGAGAGAGAGAGAGAGAGAGAGAGAGAGAGAGAGAGAGAGAGAGAGAGAGAGAGAGAGAGAGAGAGAGAGAGAGUGAGUGAGUGAGUGCUAGUUUUAACAAAUUUUAUUUAUUUAAAAAUAUAUAUAUAAAAAUUAAUCUCAACAAAAACCCACUCCCAAAACAACCAGACCACACCUGUUAUAAAAUUUAGAUUAGUUUGUGUUUAAUAAGAUAAAUAUAAAUUAAUAUAUUAUAUAAUACUGAGUAUUUAAACAGAUGCUACCUGUUGACAGGCAACAGGUGCAAACUGGUUGUUGAAUAUAUUUUGUAUAAAUUUAUAAUUUUAUACUACACUAUAGUAGGGUCUCCACGAGUACUCGGGCACGGGUCGAGUCUAGCAAAGACUAAGUCCAUUCACAGGACUCGAGUACCCGUACAAGUGAGACAAUGUAGAGCAACUAGUUCAGCGGUAACUAAUUAACGAUACAAGUUACACAAUAAUUAUAUGACUAUUUGCUAGUUUCUUUUUUAACCUGGCUGUCCGUUCGUCCGUCACAAUACUGAACGUAUCAACGGGUUUCUAAAUGCAAUACAAUGGCAUGAUUUGGCAUUCAUGUUCAGUGCUGGAAUUAAGCUAUAUAAUGCUAUUUGACGUUAUAUUCCUUUGUCUCAUUAUCAUCUUGUGUAAGCGUCGGGUACUCGGGUCCAGGUCGAGUUUGACUCUCGAGUACUCGAGUCCAAUAUAUUGGACUCGUGGAGGCCCUACACUGUAGUGUGCAGUUUCAUGUUGUAUUUUAUAUUUGGGUAAUGUACCUUUUGACUUUCCCUAAUGAUACUUGAUUUGUGUUGUAUAUUACAUUUUAUCACAAAAGAGUAUUCCUUUUUUAAUUGUUCACUCAUACUAAAAGUGCACGUCAAGUUAUUUUUAAUGGAUGUUUUUAUUUUAAAUUUUUGUAUUAAAGCAUAAACAUUUAUUGCACAAACAUCUCAAACUUAACUGAAUACACCAUCUUCUAAGCAGUUAAGGCCUGUACAAAAUGCUACAUUAAUUGAAGAUAUUAUAAUAAAUUUAAUUGUGAUGCCUCUAUCCAUAUGUUAACUAUGUUUAGUCAGCUCAGCAAUUUUGGGGUGAAUUUCUUUUGAUAAUCUGAACCAAUGGCAUAGGGAGAUGAUGCAAACGUCCAUAAACAAAACUAACUCGUUGGUUAAUCUAAUACCAUAUUGUAGAAAACUGCAAAUAGGAAUACUGUAUACAAUGUGUUCAGAAACAUUUGCAUCUGUGCCAUCUGUUGGUAAAAUACCAGUUCAACAUGUGUGCAAAUACAUGUAUGUGUGUUUAUACCAACAGUUAAUACAUAACAUGUGGUAAAUAUUGUACAAUAUAGCACACCUGUGCACACAGGUUUUAUUCUUAAUAUGGCAACAAUGCUGAAUUCAUUUACACAUGUAUUGUGAAAAAUAUUGAUAACAACUAAGAUAUCAUGAUUAUUUAGUUGAAUGAAUAAAAAUCUUUGCCAUACAUAUACAAUUCAUGUAACCAUUCUAGUCUGACAUUGUACAUACUCCCCAACAUAUCAUGUCUAUUCCUCAGAAUAUGACAACAUUCCAAUGAGUUAUGGUUGUCCAGCUACAAAGAAGGCAAUGGAAAUAAGAAAAUUCAACUAAAAUUGAUGUAAUGUUGAUUGGAAUGACUUUCAAGACUGUAUAUAUUUUUACUGUUAAUAAAAUGUUGAACAAUG